ensembl:lncRNA
GGAGUCGCCCCCUGCUGGUCACUACAGAGAAUGCAUUUUGAAUGGCUUCACGUGAGAGCAGCAGAAAAAUAGUUUACUGCUGUCUGGUUUGUAUUUUAAUCACUCAUUGUUUUGAUUGGUUACUGAUGGAUCAAUGUGUUUAAAUUGUCUCAUGUGCAUUGGAAUAAUAUUUAAGUAUUUGUAUUAAACGGAAAACCUCUCUCUGCAGCGUCAAUUCACUUGUUUUACACUGAAGUUGUAUGUUUUGCGUCAUUCGUUCAUUUUUUUUUUUUACUUGUAUUGUGUAACAUAUUGUAGCAUAUCUCCAUACGAUAUGUAACCACAGGUUUGAUUGUUAUGUGACGUGUGAUUGGUUGAGCAGAGGCGGAGGCGGAGCUUGCCGCCUUGGAGGAGCUUCGGCUGAGCAGAGCGAUGGCUUAUGUCUCCAUCGACCCCAGCAGUGUGGCUGUUUGAGUCUGGAGGAAGUUCGCUUGAAGCAGCAGCAGGAAAUGAUGGAAGCAAAGAAGAAACAGAAACCGGUGUGAAAACUCAUUUACGUUUCAUUUCAUGAAAAGAACAAAAGUGCGAGAGCACCAAAAGUAAUAGAGGUUUUCAGAGUUGUGUUAUGUCAUUUUAUAAUACAUAGUUGUUUAAUCACAAUAAUCUGAAUCUGUGAUGUAACUAGACAAAUCCCUGUGAAAGGUUCUUGAAGUAUCAAGCAGUACAUUAAGUGUACUUGAGAUAUUUGUGUAGUAAAGCUAAAUCAUUUGUGGUGAUUUGCCUUGUUGUUGUUUUAAGGUGAGUUGUUGAGGCAAACGUGGAACGCUGAGUCAACUCUCCUCGUCUCUGGCAGCUGAACUCAAAGUGAUUUUAAACUGGAUUAUCUUCACUUAUCUAAAGACUAAAUGUCAAUAAAUAAUGUACAAAAGUGGCUCACAGAAAUGUAUACGUUUUGAUAACUGUUGUUCAGUGUGUGUUGUGUAAUAUAUUUUUUAAUAUAAAAUGUAUUUAUUAAUGGUUGUUCACUGCAAAUUACAAAUAUAUUGCGUUAAUGUAGAAAGAAACACAAAUGUACAAAUAAACCCUGAAUGAGGCCGUGGGUUACUUCCAAUCAAGUGGAAGUGGUCCCCACAUUUAACUUCAACUGGAAGCCACAUAUUAGACACAUAUAAGACACAUGUAAGACACGUCAAAAGCAGUCCGUCUCUCUAGAAGCAAUAAACUGUUAAAUUCAUGCUAAAGGUCUGACAUGUCUGCUUGAGUCUCAUUCAGCUGUUGACGAGGCUCAUGGGAAAUGUUGCAUAUAGCGCGAUUAAAUAACCCCCACUUGAUUUGUAAGAAAUCAAUUUACAGUCGUGGAGGAAUUUAGACAUUUUUACUUAAAUAAAAGUAUCUAUGACGCAAGAGAAAGUCACGUGUCCAGGAGAAAAAUGUAUCCAAAGCAUCAAAGUAAAAGUAAGAAAACGUUAUUAUCAAGCAUUCACUGUGCAGAUGUGGGCAGCAUUUUAAUAUUGCAGCUGGCUGCAGUAGUCUUUCUGUCAGUUUUACGGUAUUUUAUAGGUAUUGUCUUUGUAAUGUUGUUUAUCAUUUUAAUAAUAUUUCAUAAAUUAAAAAUAUUUAUUUUGUGAUCAGCUGGUAUUGUCUGUGUUUUGUCCUGGUAGAUAAAAGUAAAAAAACGUCAAGAAAAGAACAAGUAUUUCAGAUUUUUACUUAAAAACAACAGUUUGUUAAACUUGUUGAAACUGUGCAUUUCCACCCUCCCUAUAAAAUUGGUUGUCGUAACGUUCAGGAUUAAUUUACAGCGAAUUGAUGUAAGUGAAUGAAUUAAUUCUGUCGUUUCCUCGUCCACCAGCAGAGGGCGUGUUCUUCAUGUUCCACAGCCAGUGUAGUGCACAGGGUGGAACCACACAGCACGUUGUGUAAUUCGUGCUUGGAGAACAUUUGGUUCCCUCUAGGAAUAAACUAUGAUGACGAAAUAAACAAUAUCAUCGCCAGAAUAGAAAGGACACAAAAACCCUCGUGCAUUUUUGUGACGUCAUAAUGGGUGAUUGAGACAACCACAUGCGCAUGCGUGAGAUAUUGCAAUAAGUAUAUUUGAAGCAGCUGUGAUUGUUUUUCACGGCCAUGCCUGUAGUCCAACGGGGGCACCAUAG